CUUCCUCACUACUAUCUCGAGAGAAGCAAUCGGCUUGGGAUGAUGUCAUUGGUUCUUUUCUUCUCUUUCCCUCUCGGGAGCUUCCUUUCGGAGUCGACGUGCUUCCUUAUUCACGAGAAUUUCCUCCCUCCGGUGCUGUCUCCUCACUAAGCACUCUUCUUAUCGUUUCAACCUUUCCUCAUAUCUAAUUUGGCCUGAAGUCUUUCUUUAGCCUGAUCAGAUAAUGGUGCU
rnacentral:lncRNA from 1 species